rnacentral:rRNA from 1 species
CGGUAAUACGGAGGGUGCGAGCGUUAAUCGGAAUUACUGGGCGUAAAGCGUGCGUAGGCGGUUUGUUAAGCAAGAUGUGAAAUCCCGGGGCUUAACCUCGGAACUGCAUUUUGAACUGGCAGGCUAGAGUAUUGUAGAGGGUGGUGGAAUUUCCAGUGUAGCGGUGAAAUGCGUAGAGAUUGGAAGGAACAUCAGUGGCGAAGGCGGCCACCUGGACAAAUACUGACGCUGAGGCACGAAAGCGUGGGGAGCGAACAGGAUUAGAUACCCUGGUAGUCCACGCCGUAAACGAUGUCAACUAGCUGUUUGUGGAUUUAAUCCGUGAGUAGCGUAGCUAACGCGCUAAGUUGACCGCCUGGGGAGUACGGCCGCAAGGUUAAAACUCAAAUGAAUUGACGGGGGCCCGCACAAGCGGUGGAGCAUGUGGUUUAAUUCGAUGCAACGCGAAGAACCUUACCUACUCUUGACAUCCAGAGAAGUUACUAGAGAUAGUUUCGUGCCUUCGGGAACUCUGAGGCAGGUGCUGCAUGGCUGCCGUCAGCUCGUGUUGUGAAAUGUUGGGUUAAGUCCCGCAACGAGCGCAACCCUUAUCCUUACUUGCCAGCGGGUAAUGCCGGGAACUUUAAGGAGACUGCCGGUGAUAAACCGGAGGAAGGUGGGGACGACGUCAAGUCAUCAUGGCCCUUACGAGUAGGGCUACACACGUGCUACAAUGGCGUAUACAAAGGGCAGCGAGACCGCGAGGUGGAGCGAAUCCCAUAAAGUACGUCGUAGUCCGGAUUGGAGUCUGCAACUCGACUCCAUGAAGUCGGAAUCGCUAGUAAUCGUGGAUCAGAAUGCCGCGGUGAAUACGUUCCCGGG